rnacentral:lncRNA from 1 species
AUGGUAUACACUGGAGCCUCGCUGGACAGCCCUCCCAGCUCGUUGAUGGAUCAUUGGUGGGAACUGGAACCCGGUGAGCUGAGUUCUACGACACCAGGGCCAGUUUGUCCUGGUAAGAGCGACAUGAGUGAAACGCACUUGUCACCACUGCUAAGGAUGAGGAUCCUGUCGACCUCGGUGGGGUCCGAUGCGUCUGACACAGCUGAUGCCCACUGGUGCCAGCAAACAGGCUUCCCGGACAGGAAUGGUCUCUGAGGUUCAUAAAUAGCAAUGACCGUUUCAUCACAGGAGGACUGCAGAACGGUCGCGGGUGUCCUACCGUGACCGUCUCCGCCGCCCCGCUGUCGACGGCCAGGGACACUGCCGCCUCCUUUCGAAACGUGUUUCUGACGUCUAUGUAGCAUACACUGUUACUGGGUCAUGUGAACUGAACUGUAUUUAAAGCAAAACAAGCAGCUAACUGAGGAACAACUGGACCAUUCGAGGGCCAGAAGGAGGCGUCACUCCGCACACGGUAACGAAAACGUGAAAAUGUAAAUAGACGACGUUACAGGUGAAAGAGUAACAAACAUAGCGCUUCCUCCAGGUAUCAGUGUGUCUUUGUAGUUCUAGCAGAACCACACAUUCAUAUAUUUAAUUAACAUGUUUCGGGUUCUAAAUGUCAUUUUUUAUUAUUUCACACAUAUUUAGGUGUAUAAAUAGGGAUACGGUGUUUUAAUCACUUGAAUGAUUGUGAAAAGAAUAAAAGUAUUACUUUGUUAGUGUUAAAAUAUCGG